GGCGGCGUUCUGGUUGCUAUGCCCUUUUGUGGCUGUUACAACCGGCCCCCACAACGCCCUUCUAUCACCUUCUUCACCGUGCUCUGAACUUUCUGGACAAAUGUAUGAAGUAUGAACCCAGACAAAGCCUCACUUCAAAGAGCCAAGUGGGUUGGGGCACCUGAGACCUAAUGAUGAUGAUGAUGGUGAUGACGAUGACAAUGAUGAUGACGAAGACGAUGAUGAUGAAGAGUUUCUGAUACUUGAGACUGAUGGAAGUUUUCACUUGAGUGUAUGAAGAGAUAAUCUUGGAGCCUGGGACACAAUCCAAGGAAGAAUUCAGGGACAAAGACGGAGCAGAGAUGGAAGAAAUACCAACCAAUGGCUGCCAGACCGGAGACCCAGCCCGCGGGAGAGAGCCCACCCGACACUAUUAAUACUACUCUGCUGUGCUUGCAGACAGGAGCUGAGCAUAACUGUCUCCUGAGAGGAUUCAUCCAGCAGCAGAUGGAAACAGAUGCAGACACCCGCAGCCAAACAAUGGAGGAGCUCGGGAGUUGUGUGGAAGAAUGGGAGGCCGAAAUGAGGAAGCCAGGAGACUCAAGGCCACCAGAAGAAGGCCUACAGAGUCAACAACCGCAUGCCCAUGGGGGCUCUUAAAGACUGAACCAUGUGGCAAGGCCCUCCCCUAAUGACUAAAGAUUUCAGGGGACCAAUCACUGGGCAAGGAGUCGGGAGACUUCCAGGUCAGAGGGGAUAGAGAAGAGGAGGAAGGAGAUUUGCAAUUUUUGGGGACUGGGGUAAAAGAUGUAAUGAACUAGAGGCCCCUGGUAAGAUGGCAGAUCCUGGUGGGUGUAAUUUAGUAUGGCUUACUGAUUAGAAUGUUAGUAGUUGAGCUGGUGAACGAAUACACGGAGAAACGGUCAGUGACUAAGGAACUGGAUUUCCCGGUAGGGAUUUCCGCAUCUCACCUGUAUAGUCCCACGCAUGUUCCCCACACAGUCCCUACUGUGUUUACCUGUUCUACUUGUCACCUCUCAAUAAAGCAUACCAAAUGUUGAUUUUUUAAAAAAA